GACGAACGCUGGCGGCAUGCCUAAUACAUGCAAGUCGAGCGGACAGAAGGGAGCUUGCUCCCGGAAGUCAGCGGCGGACGGGUGAGUAACACGUGGGCAACCUGCCCCUUAGAUUGGAAUAACUUCGGGAAACCGAAGCUAAUACCGAAUAAUACAAGGAACCUCCUGGUUCUCUGUUGAACGAUGGCCUUUGUGCUGUCACUAAGGGAUGGGCCCGCGGCGCACUAGCUAGUUGGUAAGGUAACGGCUUACCAAGGCGACGAUGCGUAGCCGACCUGAGAGGGUGAUCGGCCACACUGGGACUGAGACACGGCCCAGACUCCUACGGGAGGCAGCAGUAGGGAAUCUUCCGCAAUGGACGAAAGUCUGACGGAGCAAUGCCGCGUGAGUGAGGAAGGCCUUCGGGUCGUAAAGCUCUGUUGUGAGGGAAGAACAAGUACCGGCGUAACUACCGGUACCGUGACGGUACCUCACCAGAAAGCCACGGCUAACUACGUGCCAGCCGCGGCAGUAA
rnacentral:rRNA from 1 species